rnacentral:rRNA from 1 species
CCUACGGGAGGCUGCAGUGGGGAAUAUUGCUCAAUGGGCGAAAGCCUGACGCAGCGACGCCGCGUGCGGGAUGAAGGUCUUCGGAUCGGAAACCUCUGUCAGCAGGGAAGUACGGUCACUGUGCUAAUCAGCAGUGAAUUGACGGUACCUGCAAAGGAAGCCCCGGCUAACUCCGUCCCAGCAGCCGCGGGAAUACGGAGGGUGCGGGCGUUAAUCGGAAUUACUGGGCGUAAAGGGCUCGUAGGCGGUAUGUCAAGUCAAGGGUGAAAUGCCCGCGCUCAACGUGGGAACUGCCUUUGAAACUGGCAAACGUGAGUGUGUGGAAGGAAGGUGGAAUUCGAGGUGUAGGAAUGAAAUCCGUAGAUAUCUGGAGGAACAUCAGUGGCGAAGGCGACUAGCUGGCGCAUAACUGACGCUGAGGAGCGAAAGCGCGGGUAGCAAACAGGAUUAGAUACCCGUGUAGUC